UUCUCCAUGAACUUAGGUAUAUUAAACGGAUAUAUGGUAGGUUUUCAAUCUGUCUAUUAGCGAAUUUUUUUAACACUCAUCAUUGAGGUCUACACUGGACAAAUAUAUGAAAGGUUUCAAAUAUGACUAUUAUUAUAAGCCAUAUGUAGAUACCUACUACAUUACUUCUAGUUAUCAGGGAGAAAAAAAUACUGGUCCUUUAUUCAUUAUUGUCAUAUCGAUGUUUCUGAGUUUUAUAUACCUACAUAUAGUUCCAAACAUUCAAGUUUUUCGAAGUUGAAAAAGCGAUUCAGCUUAUAUAAGUGCUUUAAUUGUUUGAACUGAUUUCACCAGGUAGCUAAUUAAUCAGCUGUAUAUAAAUGGUUGAGCCGUGGCGGGAAUAAUUUAUAUGUAUAACAUUCAUACUAGAUAUUCUUGAAUAGAGGGUACAACCAUAGGUGCAAUAAAUGAAAAAAAAAAUAUACAUUGAACGAAAAAAAUGCAUGUUUGCAUAUUUUUCUAUAGUUUCCUCGCCAAAUGGAGUUUAAUUCAUUCGGAUUGAUGGUCGUCAACCAAUUAAAAGCAAAGAAAUUACACAUAUAAUAUCUUUGAUCAAAAGUCCCCCAAUUCGACAAUUCACAGCGUUGUCACAUGAAAUGAAAUAAUGUCCUGUCCAUACACUGAUUGCUUCAACCAUCAAAGAUUAUGCUGUCUAUACUUGUGAUCUGGAAAACUGAAUGCCCUCCUCACUUGAGAUGAGACCUAUUCACUUGAUAUAAUUGUAGUCUACUAGUUCUAAUUCAAACAAGUCUAGCAGAUUUAUGAGAAUGUUCAAGAUCUACUACAUUUUUAAUAGCCUGGCAACGUUGGUGCCAUGUUUACGUAGGAAGAGGAUUGAGGAUCUACGCAGGCCCGACCGGCCAAUAGGCAAUUAGUUAUCGUUACAAUACACGCAUGUGGCAGUCACGGCCGUGUUUCUAUGCUAUGUGGCAUGCGCUGUUCGUAGUUCGUUCUCCUUGUCGUCCAUCUUGAAAUAGUUUCGUAAGCUGUGUGUGUUUACUGUGUUUGUUUUGUCUGGAGGAAAUUAAUUGUACUUUGUCAUGAGUGAUUGAAAUGUAUUCUGUUUCAACAUAGUGAUGGACAUGUUUAAACAUCUGCUAAAAAACAAAAUGACAUAACCGAUUUUGAAGAAAGCUCUCCACUUUCAAGUCUACUGAUAUGAUGAAAAAGAUAUUUGAGGCCGUAGUGCUGAUGUGGGUACAUCUGAUUGAAGCAAUCUAAAAAUGUAGGAAUAGACCAUUAUAUUUAUUUAAAGAGGUGUACUCAAUGUAUAUACCUGAAUGUUGAAAACUACUAUUUUAUUAUUUUCUGAAUAAAUUGGUUUGAGACCUAAA